CCUACGGGUCGCACCAGUGGGGAAUAUUGCACAAUGGGCGCAAGCCUGAUGCAGCCAUGCCGCGUGUGUGAAGAAGGCCUUCGGGUUGUAAAGCACUUUCAGCGGGGAGGAAGGCGUUAAGGUUAAUAACCUUGGCGAUUGACGUUACCCGCAGAAGAAGCACCGGCUAACUCCGUGCCAGCAGCCGCGGUAAUACGGAGGGUGCAAGCGUUAAUCGGAAUUACUGGGCGUAAAGCGCACGCAGGCGGUCUGUCAAGUCGGUUGUGAAAUCCCCGGGCUCAACCUGGGAACUGCACUCGAAACUGGCAGGCUAGAGUCUUGUAGAGGGGGGUAGAAUUCCAGGUGUAGCGGUGAAAUGCGUAGAGAUCUGGAGGAAUACCGGUGGCGAAGGUGGCCCCCUAGACAAAGACUGACGCUCAGGUGCGAAAGCGUGGGGAGCAAACAGGAUUAGAUACCCGUGUAGUC
rnacentral:rRNA from 1 species